ACUUUUGAAUUCUGUUUUAUAUCAAGCUAUAAAAACCUGGAUCCUGUUCAACAUACAUACAAAAGCAGUACUCUAAAAAAUAAUUAUUAUUAUAUUAACAAUAUCAAACACGCUAACUCCUACACACGUACAAAGACCUUGGGCAUCCUUUAUACCGGCCACUUCCUGGCCACAGCUUUGUAAGGCAGUACCUGGGAAAAGGGGACGGACCCAAGAGAGCCGGCCCCAAAUCCUGACUCAGCACUGCAGAGGCAUCAGCCGGGCUGAGUCAUGCCUGAGUCCGAAGGGCCCCCUCUCAGGCUGAGAAGGAACUUUCAGGCCCAGGGAGGAGCAGAGCCUUAGGGGGAGCACAUGCCGAGCAGGAAAACGAGCUCACAUUUUCCUGGGGUAGAGCGAGGUGCCCGGCAGGGCAGGGGAUGAACGGAGGGUGCGGUGGGCAGAAUAACGGCCUCCCAAAGAUGUCCACGUGACAGUCCCCAGAGCCUGUGACUAUGUUAGGUUACACAGCCAGUGGGAACUAAAGUUGCAGAUGGAACUAAGGUGGCUAAUCAGCUGACCUGAAAAUAGAAAGACGACCUGGGUUCUCUGGGUAGGCGCAAUGUGAUCAUAAGCGUCCUUAAAAGCGGUAGAGCAGGCCGGGUACAGUGACUCAUGCCUAUAAUCCCAGCACUUUAGGAGGCUAAGGCUACAAGAUCCCUUGAGCCCAGGAGUUCCAGACAAGCCUAGGCAACAGAAUGAGACCCUGUAUCCACAAAAAAUAUGUAGCUGGGCGUGGGGGAUUGUCUCAGGGGACUGAGACAAGAGGAUCACUUGAACCAGGAGGUCCAGGCUGCAGUGAGCCUUGAUGCCAUGACCAGGCCACUGCACUCCAGCCUGGGCAACACAGCAAGACCCUGUCUCAAAAAAAAAAAAAAAAAAGUGGUGGAGGGAGGCAGGAGAGGGGAGGCCUCAAUGAGGUGACGGGAAAAAGAUUCAACUACCCACAGCUGGCUCUGAAGAUGGAGGAGCCUGAAGUCAAGAAUUACGGUCAGCCUCUAAAAAUGAAAAGGCCAGAAAUGAAUUCUCCCCUAGAGCCUCCAGAAGGAGUGCAGGACUGCCGACACCCAGAUUUGAGCCCCGGGUCAGCCUUCUGACCCGCAGAACUGGAAGACCUCGUUUUGAUCCACGAAGUUUGUGGAAACCUGUCACGGCAAUAGGAAACAAAUACAGAGGCCAAAGGGUCAACAGUGAGAGGUCAAGCUUGCCCUGCCCCUGCCCAGACCUCAGCCAGACUUCUGGGUGGCAGGGCCCACGGUGGCACCCCCAGGGCCUGUCCCUGCCUUGGGGAAGGGGGAGCCUGAGAGGACCCAGGAGGUCUUGGGCCCUUCGGUAGUAGACACCAAGCCCUCGGGGGACCACCCUCUAGUUGAGGCCUUGGGGGAUGAAGAGGGAGGGCUCAGGGCCCCAUUGCAGGGCCAGCCUGUAGGGGCCGUGGGGCCACCUGGAUGUGACGUCUAAUGCUGGCGGUGCUCACAGCUCGCCACAGGACCCUAAAAGCCCCUGCCAGACGAGAGCUCAUCUUUUCCUUCUUUCUCUUCCAGUUCUGUCUUCCAUUCCACCAUUGCUGAAUCCCGCUCACGGCGGCCCUGGGCUGCAGAGGGCAGAUGGGUGAGGCUCGGCCCCUGUCUCCAGAGAGCUGAAGAGGGCCCUCGGCCCCACCCACGAGGAGGACAGUCAUGAGGCCGACUGUGGAGGGGCUCUGGACAGAGGUGUCCGGGGAUCCCUGAGCCUGGCUGCACUCUCCCUCCUGGUUCUUUCCUUGCGUGCACACGAUCAGCUAUCGUUUACAAAGAGUCCUUGGUGUUGCCUGGUUGGCUGCCCAGGAUGGGAGCUCCUGCCCCCAUCGGACAUGUAAACAAACCAAGGUCUGUCCAGUUCCAGCUGACAGGGCCUGCACCUCCGCCAGGGCUAGGCAGAAGUAGCAUCAGAGCACAGGAGACCCGGGAGGAACCGAGAACCAGCGCUGCUCUUAACAGCUCCCAGCGGGGUGUGCCCAAGGCUUGCUGGGCACUCACAGGCAGGUCAGGCCACAGGAAAAGCUAACCAACCUUUAUAAGGGAAAAUAGGGGCCGGGAGGGCUCCUGCGCCCCCAUGCUGACGUCCAAGAUGCUCCGGAUGCGCUUGACCUCACUGUUGGAUAGGUUCCCCUUGAUGGCCAGGAUAGCGCUCAGGUGGCCUUUGCUGGCAAAGAGAGCAUCCUGUCAGCCCAGCCUGUCACCCACACCCCUACUCACCAGCUCCCUGCACUCCCGGCCAGUGCCACAGGGCCCGACAGCCAACGCCCGGCCCACGAGGGGGCUGCACUUCACUCUCCCUCACCCAUGCCCUCCACCUGAUGGUCCCAAGAGCAGCCAUGCCCCAGCCUGCUUCAGGCCUCCGCACCGGCUGUUCCCCUGCAAUGUUCUUCCCAGGCCCUGAGAUGACCGCCUCUUCCCACCCCUUAGGUCUCCGCUAAGAUGUCCACCCCCAAAAGGCUUUCUUGUCUCUAAAGUCGGCACCUCCUAUCAUUCACAACCUUGGUUAAACCCUAUUUACAACUUGUAAUUGUCUGUUUCUUUGCCUGAUUAUGUCAUUAGUAUUGCUGGCCCUCAACAGAAUGAGCUACUUAAGGGAGGACUGAGACCUGGCUUCCCUUGUACUUCAUUGCAUCCUGGUAACUAGAACAGAGGCUGACACCUAGCAGACUUCUCCAUAAUUGUUGGUGGCAUAGGUAGAUGGAUGGUGGGUGGGUGAGCAGAUGGAUGAGAGCUAGAUGGGUGGAGGGAUGGGAGCAUGGAUGAGUGAGUAGAUGCAUGGGUGGAUGGGUGGGUGGGUGAGUGGUUGAGUGGAUGGAUAGCUAAAUGGGUGGAGGGGUGGAUGGAUGAGUAGAUGGGUGGAUGGGUGCUUACAUGGGUAGGUGGAUGAAUAGAUGGAUGGAUAGACGGGUGGGUGGGUGGGUGGGUGGAUGGGUAGACAGGUGAUGAGUGGGUGAGAAGAUAGACGGAUAGCCAGAUGGGUGAAGGAAUGGGUGGAUGAGCAGAUGGGUGCUUGUAUGGUGGGUGAAUGAAUGAAUGGGUGGAAUGGAUCAGACAGGGACUGGACUUGGCGAAGCUGGGGUCAACCCUGUCAAGACCCAUUCAAACUUACCCUAACAUGUCAGAGGACCCAGCCCAGGAAGAAACAAUGUCCCUGGCCCACCAGAACUUCAGGCAGCCAAGGGCUAAGCCUCCACUCCCGAAUAUGAGCCCUGGUCCCAGAGCAUAGGCCUAGGCCGCAGAGGCCCCCCAGGCUGGGUGAAGCUGGCCUCUCUGGUCUCAGUCUCCCCUGUGAGAGGCAGUGUCAGGUAAAGCUAAGAGUGUGGGCCAUGCAGCCAGACACUAACUAGCCGUGUCACCUUGGACACAUCCUGUGAGCUCUCCAGGCCUCCUCUGUGAAACGGGAAUGGGAAGUAUUGUCCUCGUAGUGCUGUGGUGAAGGCCACAAGAAUGAGCCCCUGGUGAGGUUCACACAGUGACUGGCACGUGGGCAGCUGCCAGGAUCUGGGUUCCCAAUGCCAGCCCUGUGAGGCCUUGGCCACAGUGAUGUGACAGUGGUCCUGAGGUGCCCCAGGUUCUCACCUGAAGUCAGGGUAGCAGGUGGCAUAAGUGGCCACCUCAAUCUUGAUGGCACUGGGGUCCUGCAGGCGAAUGAUCUCGGCCAGCGUAGGGAGAGCAGGCUGCAGCCAGGUCGCCGGGGAGCCCUGCAGGAGUGGGUGUGGUUGGAGGGACCCAGGGGUCCAGAGGCUCGGGUCAGCGACUCGUUGGGCUUAGAGAGGCACCAGCGGCCUAUCUCCGACCCUGAAAGGGCUAGGGGAGAAGAGGCAGCCAUUUCAGAGGGGCUUGGGAGAGGUGGGCAGCGGCUUACGUGCUGGGUGCAGAAGUGCUGGAUGGUGUCAGCAUUGGCCAGGAUGUACCCAGCCAGCUGCUGCUGCUGCUCGGCCGUCUUGAGGACCAGGCGCCCCUUGCUGAGUUGGAUGAUGUACUCCUUCACCAGGUGCAGGUGCAAGGCCUCCAUGAGCUCCUGGGAGGGCAAGCAGCCAGGGGCGUGUGAGCUGUCUGCUGAUGGGGAGCUCGCCACCUCCCUUGAAGCCUUGUAGCCAGGCCUCCAGAGAGAGGCAGAUGCCAGAGCAAAAGACUGCACACGUGCUCGUGCGUCCACAUGUGUGCGUUCACAUGCUCAUGCGUUCACAUGCGUGUGUGUUCACAUGUGCAUGCGUUCACGUGUUCACAUGUGUGUGUUUACAUGCUCGUGCCUUCACGUGUGUUCAUAUGUGUGCAUGUGUUCACAUGCUCGUGCAUUCACAUGUGUGUGUUCACAUGCUCGUGCGUUCACAUGUUCGUGCCUUCACGUGUGUUCACAUGUGCACGUGUUCACAUGCUCGUGCAUUCACGUGUGUUCACAUGUGCGCGUGUGAGCACAUGUGCGUGAGUGUACACAGACGUGCUAGUGUGCGUGUCCGGGCUGCCCCCAACUCCCCAAGACCCAGCCACCAGCCCAGAGCCUCCUCACCUCCCGGAAACAGCCCUGCAGCUCUGAGAACUCAGGCAGCCUCGUGUCUACAGUGGCGAUGAUGUUUUCCAGGGUCUCCACAGGGGCCGCCCAGCGGGUGUGCGUGAACCUCUUGAACAGUGGCUGAGACAGGAGAGGCAGGAUGUCUAGUCACGCCCUGGAGAGGAAGGGCUGCCAGCCGCAGACACGCAGACACGCAGACACAGACACACACCGACACAUGUGCCUGGUGGAGGGGCGGGGGGCACUCAAGGACUCCCAGGGAACCCGGGCCAACCUCAGGUCCCUGCUCACAGACAGGAAGUGGGAGCCGGCUCUGUGCACCCUUAUCCAAGGUCACCCAGUGCGGCUCAGGAGCCAGGAGAGCCUGUCUGCCGGCCCGGAGGCCAAGUCCACUGCCACUUAAAUAAAUAAAUUCCUUCAUAAACAAGACCUUGUGCUUGGCUGGGCCAGGGAGAUCAGUACCAGGGGAUGUGGGGUCACCGCUCGGGCUUCCACCACACUCAGGCCACCCAUGGCCGCUAGUCCCUGACACCGGGAAGAGAACCUCUCCCCUUCCUUUUGAGAGACCCCCCACUUUACACCCUGCUAAAGGAACUACUUGUUUUCACAGCAUUUUCUGUGGAUUUCUUGGCCCAUAACAGAUAUAACCCCAGCUGCCGAUGACCCUGAGCCUCAGUUGCUGGGAGUCAGGCGCGGGGAUGGGGGUGGAUAGGAGGGGCUGAGGGGAUUGAAGGAAAGGUGUCUGCAGGCUUGGGACUGGGCUGUGUCUGAAUCGGGGAGGGGCAGUGAAACUUUUCCAGGCCCUCCCAGCCCCAGGCGGCCCCUCUCAGGUGAAACCCCAGGACAUGAUCGGCGGAGUUCAGAGCCUGCUAGGGUCCCCAACCGGGCAUCACCGCUGCACCAGAGCUGGCCCACGGUGCCGUCCACAGGCCUGGAGCGUGUCUUCCCCACAUCUUUGCUUCUGCCACUCCUCCCUGGGGGCACCUCCCAGUCCCUCCCUGGGAACCCCCCAACACUGGGCUCCUGAGGGCAAGAGGCUCCCGCUACCUUCAGGUCCUCAUGCAGGUUCUGGAGCAGGGUGUCAAAGCCGUGGCUCUUGAGCUCACCCAGGGGGCCCAGCAGGAGGCUCAGGGUGUCCUGGGGUACCUGCCAAUUCUGCUCCAUGGACAUCCUGGAAGGUGGAGGCAGAGAGGUCACCCCAGCCCUGCUCAGCCUAUAGCCCCAUACCCAGGGAGCCAGACAGCCCCCUCUCUUCACUCUAGAACCCUCAAUGGCUCCCCAUUCUCUAUGGGAUCAAGUCCUCCCAUCCAUGUUCUCCAUGCCCUCAGGACACUCCUCCACUACAUCCCCUUGUAACUGGGGGCAAGUGAGCCUCCUCCAGUGGUUUGCCCAUCUGCCUAAUAGACAGAUCACUAUACCUACUUCACAGGGUUGCUUUAAGGAUAAGAUAAUGGGUGAAACAUCUGCCUGUGUGCUUGCCCCAGCCAGCACUUGGGAAAUGUUUGCUGCUGCUGCUGCAGGCCGUGGAGUCCUCACACAUGUUGCUGGUUUGAAUUCCACUUCUUGGCCUAAGCAGCUCCUCCUCCCUCCACCUUCCAGCUCCCCUCUCCUGCCCGCUGAGUGACUCCCACUCCCGCAAGCCCCUCCCAACACUCUCACCGGAAGGACAGGCAGUUGUUGAUGUUGGCAAUAACAUUGGCCCUGUAAUUCGUCAGCUGCUUGCCUCUCUCCAGAAAUUCAUUAAAGGCGCGCUGGUAGCUGGCGAAACCAGAAGGGGCACAUUCAGGACCAGCCCAAACACUGGGACCACAGCAGCAGCCUCCCUGCCCUCCCUGCCAGCUCCUGGGGUUCACUUUUCUGUUUGGCUGCCCAUAGCCAAGGGAGGGGCCGCUAGCCCCUGGGCAUCAUGGAACUGGCUUCACAAGCUAAGGCUUGGGCUCCUGAAGAGGGUACCAGCCCAUCUCUGCUGCUCCCAGGCCCUCUCUAGAGUUGGGAGACCAGGUAGGAGUGAGCGUGUGGUUGGCUGGAGAAGCCCUCAGAGGUCGAGAGGGAGAGAGCAGAGAGAAUUCAGGUGGUGGAGACUAGGAGUGUUGUAUGAAGGGGUGGCGGGGUCUCAGUCCCUCCUGGGGUAUCCUCUUUGAAGCUAGAGGCUGCUCUGCUGAGAGCUUUGCUGAUGGGGUGGGCGCAAGAGGCUCCCACGUUGAAUCCUGGUGGAGGUCAGACCACCUGAGGCUCUCAGUGCCCUGGCUGAGUGGGAAACAACUCCUGGCUCAGAAUGACAGGGACAGGGGUAGAGGGCGGGGAUCCAGCUCAGCUCCCCACCUGAGGCACUAGGGAGGGGCCGUGGCUCUGAGAGCGGUGGCUACAGGGACCCCAUCCUGGGCACACACCCACCUCCUCAGGAACGCAGGCAGCUCCACCAGCAGCACCCGCUUUAUCUGUGAGCCCAAGUCCAGCGUGAUGCUCUCGGCCUUGGCCUGGGCCUGGGAGGUGAUCUGCAGGGUGGUGGUGGGUGAGCUGAGCAGGGGCUCGCCUGGACAAGGGGGCAGGGGACGGGGAGGAAACAGGCGGGAACAGAGGGGGUGCCCCGAGGUGGGCAUGGGUAUGCACACAGGACGGAAUGUGCGUGGGGCUCCCCAUGCACGUGCACGGGCGGUACGUGUGCCCUGGGGCAGAUUGCAGUACCUGGAUGAUGUCGAUGGCCAGCUCGCUGUGGCAGUGGCCGUCCAGCCUCUGGGGAGGCACAUCCUCAGCCCAGCGCCGUGCCUCUAGCUCCAGAGCUCGGUCCAUCAACUCCCUCACAUUGGCCUGGAGGAGGAGGGGCAGGUCACUGGGGCACUAUCCCUCACCUCGCUCACCUGGAAGACCCGUCAAGCUCCCUGCCCAUGUCCUGUCUGUCUCCGAGCCUCUCCUCUGCUGCCUCCCUGCCCCUCCCUGGCCCAGGUGGAGACUCACCGCCUCACUGGACAGGAAUGUGGCCUCCAGCAGUCGGAUCUGCCUGGGGGGCAGGAGGCUCCCGAGCCCCAUACCCUGCAGCUCACCCACCAGCUUGGGGCUGUUGAUGAUGUCACUGCAGGCAGGGGAGGCUGGCAUGAGGACAACUAUACCAAAUCAGCACCACCACUCAAGCUAGAGCCCAGGCCCUCAGCCUUGGUCUCUGGCAGGCCCAGACUGCCCAGCACACCCUCCCGCACCCCCACCCGGUCCCCAUUUCAGAUGAUGGGUCCUCCAUCUACUUAGUUUGGUUUGGAACAGAAACUCUGAAGUCAUCAUGCCUCCUCUGACUCUCUCACCACCCCCCCCCCAUUAGGUCCUGCUCCAAAAUAGCCCCCAAAAUCAGCAGCCUCAUGCCACUCUGGCGCCCUGGCCGGCUCCCAUCAGCUCCCCGCUGGCUCACUGCAAAAGCCUCCUCCCGGCCUCUCUGCUCCUUCCCUCACCUCCAACAAUUCCUUCUUCACCCAGCAGCCAGAGCCACCUUUAAGAUCUGAUCUUCUUCCUGCUCCAAGACUACCUGUCACCCAGAUAAAACCCUGCUCCUACUCACAGCAGCCCUGGAAUCCAGCCAGCUCCCAGCCCACUGCGCUCCAGCCCUGCAGGUCUUGGGCAUCUCACCAGCCCCGGCCACCUCCCAAUCCCAGGGGUAGGCCAGAAUGGGCAGGAAGGGCUGCCCCAAACUGCUCCACAGACGCAUCUUGGCUCACUGUCCUGGCGCCUCUGCAGCGCCCCAGAGCUCCCAGGGGACUGCCCAGCCCUGGCACUUCCUAAGGGCCCUUUGUCUGCCUAGAGGUUUACAAAUGACCUUCUCUCUGCCCCUCACCCAAUCCAGAUGCAGCUGUGUCCCUCCGUUCCCCACAUUUCUGGCACACAGGCUUCAACGAUGCCCCCCUGGGCACCCUCUCACCAGGGCUCCAUGCCCAGCUUGGCUUUAGUUGCCUGUUGCUAACCCCAGGCCAGCAGACCCCGAGGUCACUGGGACAGAAAGACUGGCAGGCAGGGGUGCAGGUGCCCGGCAUUUCCUGGUGAGUCAGGACGAGCAAGCGGGAACUGGCUCUGGGCUGGGUUAUCUCUCCCGUGGCCCCUGCCCUGUGCCAGUUCCCCUAUGCCCUGCUGACUCCUCUCCCACCCUCUCCACUGGACCCUUUCUCUAUCCUUCUGCCAGAGGCUGACCCUUCAACACGAACUGAGCCCACAGGCCACCCAAGGCCCCCGAGACGGCAGACACUGCCCACACUGUCUAUACCUCCAGGCUUCCUUCCUAAAGUUUCACACUAGGAUCUGGGGCCAGCAGUGGCCAAGCCCCACAAUAACAGCCCCUGGACUCCCCCGCCCUGGGCCUUUCCACACUGCAGUAAGCCUCUCUCCAUGCAGACCGUGCGAAUGACGGGCACGCCCAGGGAUCUAUGGAGUCAAGGGACGCCUGAGGCUGUACUCAGCAGGGGUACCAGCUGCACAGCCAGCCUCCCACCUGAGGGGCUCCAGCUCUGCGGCGGGCUCACAGGGUAACCCUACACAAUGGGGGUCUAACAAGACACGUGGCCCUAGCCCAUCACUUGGAACUCUCCUGCCUGGGGGUGCCCGCAUAGCUCUGCUCAGCUCCAGAGUGCCCUGGAAGAGGACAUGCUCAGGAGCACCGACCUUCCUCUCACCUUCUCCCCUACCUGCCCUAUCACCCCUCCUCCUGCCUCCUGGCCUGAUUCCCUGGCUCAGAGAAGGACCGCUGGCUUUCACCUCCUCCAGGCUGGCUUCCCUGACUUCUCCAGGCCUGCUUUGGGCCCAUGCUCUGCACGGGGCCUGGCCUCUGCUGCCACAGCCCUUCCAGCUCUGGAUGGUUAUUGAUUGCUUUGCCCCCUCCUCAGACUGGGCGCUCGUGAAUGAAAUCCCUACCAUUUUCUGUGCCUCAGUUUCCCCAACAGCAGAAUGUGACUGAGGCCCAGGAAAUUAAGGAUUCCAAGAGCAACGCAGACCCAGCCCCAGCCUUAUCCCUGUGUCCAGGCCCAGUCUCUGCCUGUCCAGGCUCUGCCCCAGGGAGUCCAAGUCCCACCCCUGCAUUCUCGGACCCAAAACUCUGCAAACACCGACCUCACUAAAAGCUGCCGGCGGCACACCUCGACACCCCUCGACACCCCUCCUACAGAGGACACCCUCCCUGCCGGCCCGGGCCCAGCCCCUGGUCUGCUCACUUGGGGUAGAGGUUCUGCACCCAGAGCAGCAGCAUGUAGGUGUCGCGCUCGCACAGCUCGAACUGCGCCACGGCGGCCAGGUGGGCCGCGAAGUGCUGGUGGUAGCUCUCGGCGUAGGCCGCCACGACGCCGAACUCGGCGGGGAACAGCGGCUUCAGCCGCUCCACCACGGCCUCCAGGUCCUCCUUCAUGGUGCGGCCCAAGUGCAGAAAGACGCUCUCGGGGACCUCGGCGCCCGCGGCCGGCCGCUGGCCCAUGCGCUCCUCGGCCGCCUCCGCCACGCCGCGCCGCCACAGCUGCAGCCAGCGCCGCGGGCGCGUGGCCGCCAGCCCCGAGGUCCCCGGCCCCGCCGCCGCCGCCUGGCGGUCCUCGCGCUCCUGCUCCGCCACCACGGCCAGCGCCUGGCGCAGCCGCUCGGGCGGCGCCUCCAGCGGCCGCCGCAGCACGCCCAGCACCUGGUCGCGCAGCAGCUCGUACAGCGCCUCCACCUUGCUCUGGCGCCGCACCAGCUCCUCCUCGCUCACACCGCCCGCCGCCGCCGCCGCCGCCAGCUCCCGCUCCAGCGCCAGCAGCGGCCGCGCCGCCUCCAGCUGCCCGCGCUCCAGCGCCGCCUUCAGCUCCUCCACUGCGCCGGGAAAGCCGCGUCAGCCCCGGCCCCAGCCCACCGCCCACCGGGCGGGGCGGCCAGCGCCAAGCGGGACCGUCCUCCCCUAGACGCGCACAGGGCCGGCGGCCAACACCCUAAAGGGUGAUGUCGGUGUCCCUGACUAGGCUGAAGGCCUCCCAGCCCCCCAGAUUGCGGCACAGGUGAAAGCAGGGAGACAGACGCGCCUUCCAGCCCCACUUGCCGGCCCACUGUGCAAGUGGCUCACUCACGCGGAUGAGCGCCAACCCCGUCCAGGCCCCAGACUAGCUCUAACCCAGGGUCCUAGAGCACCUGUGGGGGGCGGGCCAUCCAGCCCCUGCCUGGACCCGGCUGCGUCCUCGGGCUCCGCUGAGCUGGGCUGACCCUUCUUCUUCUUCCCUUUGGUGAAGACGCAGAACACAUUGGCCAGGCCUUUGGACUUCUUCUUCUUCUCCUUCUUCUUCUUCGCCGCCUCUUCCUCCUCCCUAUAUGGGGCUGCCCCAGCCUCCAGGGGUGGCACCAGGUCCUCAGAGGAGGCCUCCGACAUGGAGGCCUCUGACUCUGCCUCUGAUGUGGACUGCAACUUUUGGGGGCCUCUAGGCAAGUCGAGGGUGCCUGGCACAGGCUGAUGGCUCUAGAGGCCUUGGAAGAAGGUCAUCAUCUUCAGCAUCACCCUGGUUCAGGCCUGCAGGCUCUGUCCCACCUCCAGGCACAGCUCCCGCAGGACCCCCACAGCAUCACCGCCUUCUCCCCUCUGUGACACGAAACCCAGAGCGCCUGAAGGUCCUGCUGCAGCCCCCUGGGCCUCGCCCCAGGUCUCCGCUCUCCGAGGCAGCUGGUGCCAUGGAAAGAGAAACGCUUUCGGUGUGGGCUCAGCACACUUCUCACUAGUGUGUGGACUGCACACCUCCUUCCUUCACAAGCCGCCGUUUCCCCGUCUUUGAAAAGGGGAUGAGGACCCCCACCCCACAGUGCUGCUGAGGGGAUGUGGCCAAACCGCACAGCCAAGUGCUGGGCGCCUAGCUGGGCCUCAGUGGGGGUGAGUCUCCUGUGUCCUGAGUCUGUCCUGCAGGCAGCAGCGAGCCGGUGCAGCCAGAAAGGAAGAAGGGGAGGAGGGGCGUUCCUUUGAGCCUUGCCGCUGGUUGGGCCCACUGAGGCAGGAAGGGGCCUGCUGGGAGGCUCGUAGAGGGGUCACAGCCAGUGGCUCAACAGCGCCCCCCAGCCUCCUGCUGCCCGGCCUCUCCUCAGGUCCACUGACCUGGCUCGCCUUCCCCGUCAGGGCUGAUGUCCACACACCUCCCGGGAGCUCGCUGGGCCCGGCUCCUUCAGUCCUGGGCAGGAUGUGGAAGGCGCACCCAUCCCCCGAUGAGGACACCCGGGCACGGGCGAGGAAGUGACUCGGCCUGUGUCGCCCGGCCGGGGAGUCACGCCGGACCUGGGGCCUUUCUGCUGUAAUGGAGGGGAGACCCCUGCGCCUGCCCCAGCCCCGCCCUCCCUGCCUCUGGCAGGCCCGGGCCCUCAGCCAGCCUUGGCCCCUCUGCGCCCGGACGCGCGGACGCUGGGCGCGCCAGGGCCUCAGUUUCCCUGGAAGCGUCCAGCCCCCUCCUGUCCCCGCCGCGGCGACAGGCUCUUUCCUCGGGGAAUCCGGCCUGGCCUCGGGGUAGGGGCGGGCGAGAAGCCGCGCGGAGCGGCGGGGAAUGGACGUGUGGAAGCGGAGGUCACUUACCGUGUCCCGGCCUGGCCGCCACUGUCCUGGCCCGGGUUCCGCAAGGCCUGAAAUAGUCGCAGAGUCAGCCCCGCCCCGCCCG
rnacentral:lncRNA from 1 species